CCGUGGUAAUUCUAGAGCUAAUACAUGCUAAAAAUCCCGACUUCUGGAAGGGAUGUAUUUAUUAGAUAAAAAAUCAAUGCUCUUUGAGCUCUUUGAUGAUUCAUAAUAACUUUUCGAAUCGCAUGGCCUUGUGCUGGCGAUGGUUCAUUCAAAUUUCUGCCCUAUCAACUUUCGAUGGUAGGAUAGUGGCCUACCAUGGUUUCAACGGGUAACGGGGAAUAAGGGUUCGAUUCCGGAGAGGGAGCCUGAGAAACGGCUACCACAUCCAAGGAAGGCAGCAGGCGCGCAAAUUACCCAAUCCCGACACGGGGAGGUAGUGACAAUAAAUAACGAUACAGGGCCCUUUCGGGUCUUGUAAUUGGAAUGAGUACAAUGUAAAUACCUUAACGAGGAACAAUUGGAGGGCAAGUCUGGUGCCAGCAGCCGCGGUAAUUCCAGCUCCAAUAGCGUAUAUUAAAGUUGUUGCAGUUAAAAAGCUCGUAGUUGAACCUUGGGCUUGGUUGGCCGGUCCGCUUUAUGGCGAGUACUGGACCCAACCGAGCCUUUCCUUCUGGCUAACCUUUCGCCCUUGUGGUGUUUGGAGAACCAGGACUUUUACUUUGAAAAAAUUAGAGUGUUCAAAGCAGGCCUUUGCUCGAAUAUAUUAGCAUGGAAUAAUAGAAUAGGACGUUAUGGUUCUAUUUUGUUGGUUUCUAGGACCAUCGUAAUGAUUAAUAGGGACGGUCGGGGGCAUCAGUAUUCAGUUGUCAGAGGUGAAAUUCUUGGAUUUACUGAAAGACUAACUAC
rnacentral:rRNA from 1 species